GAUGAACGCUGGCGGCGUGCCUAAUACAUGCAAGUCGAGCGAACAGACGAGGAGCUUGCUCCUCUGACGUUAGCGGCGGACGGGUGAGUAACACGUGGAUAACCUACCUAUAAGACUGGGAUAACUUCGGGAAACCGGAUCUAAUACCGGAUAAUAUAUUGAACCGCAUGGUUCAAUAGUGAAAGACGGUUUUGCUGUCACUAAUAGAUGGAUCCGCGCCGCAUUAGCUAGUUGGUAAGGUAACGGCUUACCAAGGCAACGAUGCGUAGCCGACCUGAGAGGGUGAUCGGCCACACUGGAACUGAGACACGGUCCAGACUCCUACGGGAGGCAGCAGUAGGGAAUCUUCCGCAAUGGGCGAAAGCUUGACGGAGCAACGCCGCGUGAGUGAUGAAGGUCUUCGGAUCGUAAAACUCUGUUAUUAGGGAAGAACAAAUGUGUAAGUAACUAUGCACGUCUUGACGGUACCUAAUCAGAAAGCCACGGCUAACUACGUG
rnacentral:rRNA from 1 species